AGGCAAUCCUGUCAGCCUCCCAAGUAGCUGGGAAUACAGCUUUAUAACUGAUAUGGAUGGAGGCUAAAUUGACAUAUUGAAAAUGCGAAUCACUUCGCAGAUGGAGGAUGUCUUCUCAUUUGACCUCUUGUCUCACAUUUCUGAUAUGAGCAACAUUUUGAGAUGAAAUGCCAAAUUAUUGGCCCAGAGUCAGUGCCCCUUGGCCAAGCGGCCCUAAGCCAGCCUGAUCCAGCCUCGCCUCGCCUACUCUCUGCAAGAGACUCCCGGGUACAGGAUGAUUGAGGUGGCCCCAGCCUCCCCACCAGGUGCUGACUUGCGCUUGGAAAUUCAAUCCUCU